ensembl:lncRNA
GAGAAGAAAACAGAUGACAUUAUUUAUAAACAAACUGGCAUUAUGAGCUGUACAGUGGGGAUGAUCAGAAACAAUGCUCACUCAUUUUUGGAUACUGUCAGACAAGUCAGAAAUAUUGUUUUACUCAACAAAAAAGUUUGAAGAUCUCUGUGGGUGUCAGAUAGGUAUUAACAACUUAUGGGUAAACAUCAAAGGAAAAAAAAAAUCUGGCACUCAGCCUCUUUUUGCCAGGAUAGAAAACGAUUGAGCAGAUGGUUUGUUCAGAAACUGCAGCCUUUAGGAAGAAGCUUGUUUGUAAAACUGAAUAUAUUUUGCAACCAACAAAGAUGUGGAAAUUUUUGUCCUUAGAAAGCUUUCACUGAUAACAAGAUGGGAAAGUCAGUACACUAUUCCAGUUCAAAAGGAGUAUCUACUCUAACUACGUUUUUUUUUUCUCUCUUAGCAGGUUGUGGCAGUCCAGUGCAACAGACCAUAAUUAAGCAUCUUGACAGGUUUAUGGAAGCCUUGCUCUCAGACAAAGACCCGUGUCAUUGUAUUCCUACUGCAGUGAAGAUGAAUAUGAUUAGCAGGGUUUUUUGUGGAUGGGAGACUUGAUUUCUUUACAUGCUCCCCCUACCUUUGGCUGCAUUUGUGAAGUAAUGUCCCAAUCUGCCAACCUGUAUUUUGUGGUACAGUCCUGUCUUUCAGCCCCUUCCAGCACAGAGAUUAAAUAGUAGCUUAACUAAUUAGCUUGUAAAAAUAUUAUGGAGUUUUUCACACAGCUUCAUGACUAUUGUCGUAAUUAAAUUCUGAAAAUGUGUCAGGGACUGGCAAAAUCUAUAUAGGUAUAUAAAAAUAUACAUAAAAAAUACAUGUAGAUGAUCAUCACUGGAUCCCAAUAUCACCAGGGAAGAAAGUGGCUUGCAAGGACCAUAGCCAAGUACCAUUGUUUAACUAUUCUGAGCACACAUCAUAGCAAAGGCCUACACACAACCUGUACAUCAUUGAAAAUACAAAAAUAAAAUUUAAAAAAAGGACAUUUUAUCAGGCACAGAGAAGAGGAGAAGCCACUCUCCUUUCAGGAGUCUCCUGAUGAGAUACAGCCUGGCUUUGUGAGAGCUGACUCAAUACAUGUACCCAGAUACUCAGCCCAAACAUUACAGGUUUGGGGAUUUUCUUUUUAUAUAUAUUUUUUCAUCCCUCUUACUUAUGACUUGAGUUUAUCAGAGGCAUAUGAUUGUAAUUAGCAAGACAUCACACCCAAGAAAUCAAGUUGCAGUGAGACACAGAGGUUGUAUUGGCUUGACUUCAGACUCAUUAGCUUAGGCUGGGUGCCAUAGGAACCCUUUCAUUGGAAUUCCAGUAAAUUCAGACCAUGGAGGAAAAACGAAAUUGUUAAGACUGUGCAGAGGGUAAACAAAAACAGUGCCACCAAUUUUUAGCUUACAGCUUAUCUUGACAACCAUUGUUUAAAGCCUGAGAUAUUUUGCCUCUGUUUCAUCUGUGAGAGGAGAUUGGCCUUUUCACUGGCAAUAGCUGUACCCAGCUUUCAUUUAUUCGCGCCCCAAACAUGAACAGUAUUAUUCCAGUCAACUCAUCACAUUAUCCUUACACUGGAAAGCAGGAGAGAGACAAUGACUAGGAAGACAAUUCAAGUAUUCCUAGGCAAAAAUUGAAAGCUUCUCUCUUUGCUGAGGACAAAUGCUGCAGUUUUUCACUGUUUGUAACUUUAGGUCUCCCACUUCAGUCACGGUUGAAACAGUGCCUGCAGAACAAGGUUGCUUCUAUUCUUCUUUAAAAUAUACAGUGCUGCAGAACUACUGUGUGUUCCCAGAAAUAGAGCCCAGGCUGAAGGAGGAAUUACAAAUCCUAAUAAAAUACCUGAAACCUUUUCUUUCUAUUCUUCAAGGAAAAAAUGGUCCCUCCAUGAGGGCUUUUUUUCCUGAACUAUAAAACCAACAGAAAAGAUGUAUAAUUGUAGGGUGCUAUAAACUGCUCAUAUGCUUCCCCCCAGUUUUAAUCAGAGGGGAACACACACCCCUCUUUGCCAUUUUCGGGGCUGCAGAAGCUUUGAUGUCAGUGGAGCUCUGCCAGCUCACAGCACCUCUCACUCCAGCCAGGAGUGUGUGUGGCAGGCCCAUGGCCACUCAUUACUGUCCUGCCAGGCUGCCAGUGCUUUCCUUCCUUUCUGAAAGCCUGGACUCACAAUGUGCUACAAAUGAGCUGAAGUUUGUGCUAAGCUCACCCACUCCUUUAUCAGAUUUGAGUCUUGGAAGGCAGUGACCCACAACUGGUGGUAGCUACCCAAAAGAGCCAACGUGAUGGGUCCUCUCCUCCUAGGAAAGGGUAGAGAGAAGGAAAGAAAUGGCUACAAGCCCAAGUAGAGAAGCAUGGAGAGAUGAGAGAGCAGGCUGGCCAUUGGAAGCCUCUUGCUUUCGUGCUUAAUAAGUGCAUGUUUGCACUUUGGAUGACAAGCUCACACAAGAAUAUUUUGAGACUGGAUUCUGCAGUUGGUGGCCUCAUUAUGGAGGGGACUUGGACCAUGCCUCAUGGCUCUUAUAAACUUAGUGGCAAAUAGAAAGGUGCCUGAAAUACUGGAGGUUUGAUUUUCAGAUGAGGGUGUUUUUACAUGCCUCCUUUUCUCUCAACAGAAACACGGUACCCUGCUAAAUUGGAGACUGAGCAUUUUAUUACUCCUUUUAAAUGAAAAGAGGAGCAGCAGAAGCAUGCUUAUAAAGAAGAACAGACAGGAUUUGUAAUGUUCAUAAAGCCAAAAAGCUAGGAAAUUAGAUAAAAGAAAACUAUCAGGGUUAUAUUCUUGUGAAGACUGAAACUGAGAUUGAGAAGUUCUCUAAGUGAAUUAUGAUUUACUGGAUAACAGAUACAGAAAAAUUUCACUACCAUUACCUAUAAAACUGCAUUGGUUUUUUAUCAAGUAGCUCUCUUUUAGCCCAUCGAGUUGAUGAACAUUCUUCUCAACUAGCAAAUAUAAAUGACUUAUGGGGAUAAUAUUUCAAUAUAUGAUGACAUUGCUAUACCUCAGAUUCUUUUAAGAUCUGGGUUAUUAAAUAUUAAAUAUCAAAGCUGUAAAUUAUUGUAGCAGCUUUAUACAACUAAAUUAAAUUCAAACAAAACCUAAUUUCCUUAAUCAUUGACUGUAAUCCUCCAGGAACAUAUGCUAUUAACUCAGCUACAAAUGGCAUAGAAAUUGUAUGACUUCUGUUAAAUUAUUUUAUAUCAAAUUCUAAUCCAGGGCAGAGACUUCAGUAAAUCUCCUGCAGGGAUUUUAAUGCUUCUGCAAUCAUAUUGGGUCUUUACUAGAGAGCUAAUCUUUUUAUACUCUGUUUUUUUCAUUCCUUUAUCCAUUUCCUUCACACCCUUACUGAGCUAUAGCUAGUACCUUCUAUCACAUAUCAUAUUUUGAAAGAUUUGGCUUUUCCCUCUUGAAUUUGAUCAGCAAUAGUUAGGCUUUCACUUAAGACAGAAUUUGAUAGGUUUUUUUGUUUCACAUGUAAAACUAAAUAAUUCCCAUUUGUUUCAACAUGUAUGUUAAUUGCCACUUGUGGUGAUCUCUUUAUAAGGCUGUCAUAAUUAUUCACAGUUUGCAGUCAAGCAUUGAGAAAGCAAAACAAUUUCCUCUUCUUUAAGAGCCCUAUGCAAGUAAAACUAAACAGAUUUAAUUUAAGCAAGAAACUUCCUUAGAGACUCAAGACAAUGAGUGGAUAAUAAAGAAACAAACCUUAGAGCCCUAGGAGGUAAAAGACUUGAAGAAACCUCCAGAGAUCAUCUAGUCAGUCCUCUACCCCAAGUGAUAACUAAACUGCUGUCAUCCCUGACAGACGCUCCCCUAACCUGUGCAUAAAAGCCUGCAACAUGGACAUCUCUCCACACAAUCUAUUUCAGUGCUUCACUGUCCUUCCUAGCAAGACAGGUCUCCAGACAUCUAAUUGCAUUUUCCCCCUUUUUGUUCCUCUUUAAGCCUUUUACUUCCUUCCCUCUGCUUUGGGACUGGUGAACAGGCAAUUCCUAAAACAUGGCAACUUCCAUCUCAGUUUUCUUUUCUCUACAUCAUUUUCUCUGAAUGAUGGUAUCUUAUUCUUUCCUCAGCAGUCUUGUUCAUCGCUGGACAUUCUAUCCUGUCAACUCUCCCUUGGAAAAGCAUCACUAGAAGUAGAGUAGUUUAGUUGAGGUUUUUCCCACACCAAGGAAGAGAGAAGAAAUAACUGAAAUCUGGCAUAUUACAGGUCUGUUUAUACAUCCCAGCAUGCCUCCUUCACAGCAGAAUACACUGCUGACUCACAUUGAAUUUAUGACCCCUUCUAAUCCCUGGUCUCUUCCAGCUUAAUACCCUAUAAUUAUUUCUUUAUGAAUAUUGUAAAUCAAAUCUUCAAAGUCUCUUGAACUGAAGGCAAUUAGCCAUUACCCUCAAAUUUCACUGCCUAAAACAUCCCAUUUCGUAAGCAAGAGAAGUAAAUUCUGAGAAUCUUUGUUCAGAGCUCCCGCAAAGAGUAAAAAACCCACCCUAAAACAGAACAAGCCACUGCAUAUUAUCACAAAAUCUCACAGAACUUUUGUUCUGGAAUUCCUCUUCACAAGGAUUUCCUGAGCCCUGCACUCCAGUUCAAACUGGAGUCCCUCCAGGUACUUGAACAGGGGUCUUGUGAUUCUAUAAGCACUGCAACCUGACAAGGAUGUCACUUUAGCCACCUGAAUGGAGCCAUUUGUUUAAGUAAUUUCCUACUAUAGAAACACUCCUGCCCUUCUCUGCUGGCUCCUCCCUCAUUGAGCCAAGGUAGGGCAGCACUUCAGCUAAGGCCCUUCUAAGCCCAAGAUGGACAUUGGCAGGUUUCAGCUCUGUAUCUAUGUGCCAGUGUGACCCUCCAUCACUGCUGACCCAUGUUCAGCUAGUGAAGCACCUCCUACCCUAGUUUGGUUUGAGAACUGGUGCAAUUUCACAUUUCUCACAGUUAUGUUUAGUGCAAUCAUCAUAGUGACUCAACCUAAAGGCAGGAAUUAUUCAACACAGGCACAGAGAUCCUGUGGCACAGUUUUUAAAGUGCCAGCUUCCCUAUUCCUGCAAAAAGGUCAUUGGUGCUGGGGGCACAGUAAGGUUUAAUAUUUCCCAAAUGUGUCAAACAUGCUGCAAUUGGCUGUUAUGUGGCAGAGCUGUGCAGUAGACCUUGCCAAGGUGUCUUGGAUGAAAAUCCCACACAAUGUGAUGCAUGUUCACACCACUGUGUCCAGGCUUUGCCAGAGUACAGCAGCUCCUGUAAACAUUAACUCUUAAGGGUUCCCAGGGAAUGGGAGAAAAAAAAGCUAGGGAAGAGGAUGUAUCAUUAGUAGAGCAUUCUAUACAAAUAGACAUGAAUCUGGCUUUCACCUUGAGUCCGACCAACACUACAACCCACACCAGAUCAAUUUCUUCAGACAUCAAAAAGUCUCUACUAAUGCAGUCAUUUCAGGUCAGGGCAAAGGUCCAUCUAAUUCCACUGUCUGCAUCCAUCAUUAGACCUAACUCCAACCUUAGGAAAAGAGUAGAAAAAACAAGGUAAACAAAGUUCCUCCCGAGACAAUUCUCUAGUCCAUGAUCAACUAGCCUGACAAGUCUAAGACGCAGAUCAGUAGAAACUAUGAAAAUUUAAUUGAUGGAACACUAGCACAUACAGAGUCAUAGAGAAAAAAAAAUCCUAAAAUUACCCCUUCUGUAAGGUUCUGUGCAGGAGUCAGUGCUUUCUCAUACUAUACUGUGCAUCUGUACUCAUGCUGGGACUGCACUCCCCCUAGAAAUACCACACCUGAGGGCUUCUGUACCCCCUGGCUGUCCACUGACCAAUUCCCUGGCAGACUUCCUAGUCACAACAUGUUUGAACAGAUAACUGACAUUUUAAUUAAUAUGUUUAAUUGCUAAUUGUCCCUCACACUCCUUCAGCCAGCCUUAUCAUGUUUGUCCAUACUAGAGCUCAUAAUUUUUUCAGUUUUCUUCAGCUGGACAGCAUUUCAGCUUUUUGAAGAAUGCCUUCUUGCUCCUGCAGUCUCACUUACCCUGCAAAUUUUCUUCUCACUCUCUCAAGUUUCUCUUGAUGCACCGUUAUUAUCUCUGCACUUCCCAUGUGAUUUACAGAAGCAAAAUCCACACUCCCUGCAAAGAGUUAGGUGUUCCAUCUGUCUUAUUUUCAACAUGCCUGCUGAUCUGUGUCUAAUUUUCCUUUUUGAAGCUGAGCAGAGCAAUGGUAGAGAACUCUGGCUUGUCUUACUCCUGCAAGGAUGCCAAAUCUAAGCACAUAAAGAUCUCCCUCUCAGGGGACCUCUUCAGCUGUUACUCCCUACAUCAUAUCCCAUAAACCACUCAAGAUUCAAGUCAAGCACUGCCUUCAUGGGUUCCUGAACCAGUUGCUCCACAAAACAGCCACUGAAACAUCUAAAAAUGCACUCUGUCAAGUCCGGAUAAAUAUUUGCCUCUUAUAGGCCAAAGAAAUUAAGCUGCCCAUGAGUACUUCCCACCCUACUCAGGCUGCUGCACUGCCAUCACGGUCCACCACUGAGCAGGCAGAGUCAAUAUUGUAUCUUCUUACUUAAGUUUGGGACUUUCACUGUUGUGAAGUUUGGAUUGUUCAUUGAUGAAACUACCUUGGUUAAGCAGUUCAGCUCCCACAUGUCUUCAACAUGCAGAAUUACUUAGCUCUCAGCAAAUCUCUCUGCAUCCUUCCUGAGCAUAGUAUCAUGAGAAUGUUGCACUGCUUAUCCUUCCAAGUUUUGUGACAUCUAUCUGCCCUGUAAGGACCUCCAUGAACAAUAGGACAUACCAGUUCCCCAAGUCAUUUCUUUGACAUUAAGCACUCCCACAGAGGAAUAUCUUGUUUAAACAAUCUCUUCAAUCUGUCUGUUCCCAGUUUCCUCUUCAACUACAUUUGACCUUAACACCAGCGGAAGGGCUGUGAACCAGCAGCACCCAAGGCACGAUAUGGCAGGGUGGCUAUUGGCAGGGAUUAUCUAUAGUAGGUCUUUGACUUGAAUUCAUUUUCCUCUGAGCAUGAGGAGCUCGAUUUUGUUCCUUCAAAAAGACAUACUACGCAGUCCAUUUAUUUACUCAGGCGUUUCCCAAGCGAGUCAUCUCUACUGCGGAAUGGACUUUUGUUUUCCUUUUUUUCUGGGCAGGGUUAAAGUAAAGUAGUAUUCCCUUAUCCCCUGCCCCAAAGGAUAUCAGCUGGCCAGCACCAGCACUUCAUAAAAGAAGAGGCUUGGCUUUGCAGUAAGGAAAAUUUGGAUCUUAGCAAUUGAGGAAAAAUACCUUCUUAGAAAGGUCACAGCUCUCAGAAGAAUAGCAUCUUGUGUUUAAAUAGAACAGGAUUGUUUAAAUUAAAUCAAGGCAGUUAAGACCUCUGAAACUCCACAGUACUUUACACGGACUUGAUUCUCCACUUGCAUUUUACAGUUGGCUAUCUCAAUUUAAGUGCUUUGGCAGUAAAUUACCAAAAAACUGGAACAACAUAGUAAGUGACCUCACAGUCAAACUUUAGUGCAUUUUUGGUAUAUGCCCCUGUUGACCAAUUCAGUAAAAUUAGCGUUAGCCCAGAUUUCAUCCCUGUUUCUGGAGUUCUGCAACUGGCCUGCUUCUUAGUCCUGAAGUAGGGUGUAGAUCAUACAAUAGAGUGUUUGACUAGAUUUCAGAUUCUGACUUCUGCUGCACAAGACAUUCCAGUAUUGAAUGAAGCAUACAAGUUCUGCUUUCUACAUUGCAAUAUUAAACUAUUUUAAAAGCUCCUAAACAUGAAUUCUCUUUCAGGGAGAGCAGAAAGAGGGGUUUAAAUGGUUUGCACUCUCAGAAAUGGAGAGUGGAGCUUUCAGCAAAAAUGGUUCAAAUUAAAACGUGCCUUUCGUUGUAUCUUUGCUGGAAAUGCACGAGGCGAGAGCAGCAAGUGGGGCUGCGGAGCGAUGGUAACUGGGCGAGAGGGAAAAUCUCGAUCUGUUUGGUCCUUGAGCCGAUCUAGGGGAGACAGAAACAACGCUCCCCCAUCCCUGCCUUGGGCCGGCCAGGGCUGUUCCGAGCCUGCAAACCACUGCAGCAU